GGUGACUGCGGAGGAUCAUUACCGAGUACGGGCCCUCUGUGGCCCCAUCUCCCACCCGUGUCGUUGAUAACCUGUUGCUUGGGCGGGCCCACCAGGUUCUCCCUGGUCGCCGGGGGGCAUCGCCCCCGGGCCCGCGCCCGCCGAAGCACCCUAGGAACUCUGAUGAAGAUAGGCUGUCUGAGUCUGACGAAAAAUUGUCAAAACUUUCAACAAUGGAUCUCUUGGUUCCGGCAUCGAUGAAGAACGCAGCGAAAUGCGAUAAGUAAUGUGAAUUGCAGAAUUCCGUGAAUCAUCGAAUCUUUGAACGCACAUUGCGCCCCCUGGCAUUCCGGGGGGCAUGCCUGUCCGAGCGUCAUUUCUGCCCUCAAGCGCGGCUUGUGUGUUGGGCGUGGUCCCCCCGGGGACCUGCCCGAAAGGCAGCGGCGACGUCCGUCGGGUCCUCGAGCGUAUGGGGCUUUGUCACUCGCUCGGGAGGGACCUGCGGGGGUUGGUCACCACUGAAUUGUUUCCAUGGUUGACCUCGGAUCAGGUAGGAGUUACCCGCUGAACUUAAGCAUAUCAAUAAGCGGAGGAAC
rnacentral:rRNA from 1 species